UCCAGAUUGCUCAAUUGGUAAAGAAUCUGCCCGCAAUGCAGGAGACCCUGGUUCAAUUCCUGGGUCGGGAA
rfam:TPA: Bos taurus chromosome 8, whole genome shotgun sequence.